AUGGGGAAGUACAUGCGGAAGUGCAGGGCCGCGGCCGCGGGCGGCGGCAGGGCGGCGCCGGCCGUCGUGGAGCACCGCGCGCCGGUGGCCCUCGGCGUCCGCACGCGGUCCCGCGCGGCCGCCCUCGACGCGAAGAUGAGGAAGCAGCAGCAGGCGACGACGUCCACGGCGGCGCGCGCGGUGGAGGAUGCGUUGCUGGGCCGUGACGGCGGCGACGCGGCCGCCGGGUGCUACCUGCAUCUCCGGAGCAGGAGGCUGUUCAUGCCUGCUGCCGCGGUGGUGGAUCAGCUGCGGGGACAGGGGGUGUGUGAGGAGGCUUCCACAGCGGGGCUGCCGGACUCUGGGCCCUCGGUGGAGGCGGCGGUCGGGGCCGGGGUCUCGCGCUGCUCCAGCACCGCGUCCACGGCGGUCGACGUGGCGGCUAGAGAGAGGAGCGGGGAUGAAGCGGAGGCGUGCGAGAGUCGCGACGUGGAGAGCUCCGUCAGCGACUCUGAGUGCGGCGGCCGGGACAGGAGGGAGACGACGCCGUCGAGCCGUUCGCCGGUAGAUUUGAGCGACCUGGAGUCGAGCCAGGCGGCGGACGAGCAGAAGCACAAACGCAGGAGGUGUCCGGCAACAACGACGACGACCGCAGCGCCAUUGCACUAUGACUUGGAGGCGAGAGCAAGAGCAAGGAUGCCACCAGCGGCAGAGAUCGACGAGUUCUUCGCCGCCGCGGAGAAGGCCCAGGCCGAGCGCUUCGCCGCCAAGUACAACUUCGACGUCGCGCGCGGCGUGCCUCUCAACGCCGGCCGGUUCGAGUGGACCCCGGUGGCCACCGUGUGA
rnacentral:rRNA from 1 species